UAGCUAAUACCGAAUAAGGUCAAUUGAGGUGUUAAUUGAUGAAAGGAAGCCUUUAAAGCUUCGCUUGUAGAUGAGUCUGCGUCUUAUUAGCUAGUUGGUGGGAUAAGAGCCUACCAAGGCUAUGAUAAGUAACCGGCCUGAGAGGGUGAUCGGUCACACUGGAACUGAGAUACGGUCCAGACUCCUACGGGAGGCAGCAGCUAAGAAUCUUCCGCAAUGGGCGAAAGCCUGACGGAGCGACACUGCGUGAACGAAGAAGGUCGAAAGAUUGUAAAGUUCUUUUAUAAGUGAGGAAUAAGCUUUGUAGGAAAUGACAAAGUGAUGACGUUAAUUUAUGAAUAAGCCCCGGCUAAUUACGUGCCAGCAGCCGCGGUAAUACGUAAGGGGCGAGCGUUGUUCGGGAUCAUUGGGCGUAAAGGGUGAGUAGGCGGAUAUGCAAGUCUAUGUGUAAAAUACCACAGCUCAACUGUGGAACUAUGCUGGAAACUGCAUGACUAGAGUCUGAUAGGGGAAGUUAGAAUUCCUGGUGUAAGGGUGGAAUCUGUUGAUAUCAGGAAGAAUACCAGAGGCGAAGGCGAACUUCUAGGUCAAGACUGACGCUGAGUCACGAAAGCGUAGGGAGCAAACAGGAUUAGAUACCCUGGUAGUCUACGCUGUAAACGAUGCACACUUGGUGUUAAUCGAAAGGUUAGUACCGAAGCUAACGUGUUAAGUGUGCCGCCUGGGGAGUAUGUUCGCAAGAAUGAAACUCAAAGGAAUUGACGGGGGCCCGCACAAGCGGUGGAGCAUGUGGUUUAAUUCGAUGAUACGCGAGGAACCUUACCAGGGCUUGACAUAUACAGGAUAUAGUUAGAGAUGACUAUUCCCCGUUUGGGGUCUGUAUACAGGUGCUGCAUGGUUGUCGUCAGCUCGUGCCGUGAGGUGUUGGGUUAAGUCCCGCAACGAGCGCAACCCUUAUUGUCUGUUACCAGCAUGUAAAGAUGGGGACUCAGACGAGACUGCCGGUGAUAAGCCGGAGGAAGGUGAGGAUGACGUCAAAUCAUCAUGGCCCUUAUGUCCUGGGCUACACACGUGCUACAAUGGCCUGUACAAAGCGAUGCGAAACAGUGAUGUGAAGCAAAACGCAGAAAGCAGGUCUCAGUCCAGAUUGAAGUCUGAAACUCGGCUUCAUGAAGUUGGAAUCGCUAGUAAU
rnacentral:rRNA from 1 species